rnacentral:rRNA from 1 species
UACGGAGGGGGCUAGCGUUAUUCGGAAUUAUUGGGCGUAAAGAGCUCGUAGGCGGUUUGUCGCGUCUGUCGUGAAAGCCCACGGCUUAACCGUGGGUCUGCGGUGGAUACGGGCAGACUAGAGGCAGGUAGGGGAGAACGGAAUUCCCGGAGUAGCGGUGAAAUGCGCAGAUAUCGGGAGGAACACCGGUGGCGAAGGCGGAUCUCUGGGCCAUUACUGACGCUGAGGAGCGAAAGCGUGGGGAGCGAACAGG